CCCUCAGCCCCUCCCGUUACCGCCCACACCCAUUCAGCGGCUGGGUCGGAGCACGAUUGGUCUGACUCCCUCAUGAUAUCAGGACCCAACGUGGGGUUUCCUGGCUGUGAUUGGGUAGAACGAGGCCACUUUUGCCCAAUCGGGACACAGAAUGAGCUUUCAGACAAGGAAGGGCUUUUAAGGUGGACUGGAGGAGUUGCUGCACAGUCUAAAUUGAGACGUUUGUAUGAAAGUUGAUUUGCUCUCGACUUUACUGUUUUAUUAACGCAAGGAAAAGUACAAAACACGCACAGUUACCUGAGACCGACGAAGCGGACAUGUUUAUCGUUCUCACAGCUUGUGCCUGGUGCUAGCUCACUGCCAGCUAGCUGUAAGUCAGCAGGAAGCUAACCGUGCGCUAUAGGUCGGUUUAACGCAAGAAAGCUGUGAAAAAGUUUUUGUUUCCCACUAGUCAAAAUACCAGUUUAAGUGGAGUGAACUGGUUAGCGGUGCUCGCAGCUGGUUCUGCUCCGGGCUGAGCGUCACUCAGCCGGUGCUGACGCAGGUGGACCCUGGCUCCUCCAGAUGCUUUACUAAACAUAAAGUCAACUCGGACAGGUGUGACGUCACUUCCAGAUGUGGAGCCAUGACGUGUCGUCCACUGGACAUGAACCUUAAGGACCCAGCGUGGGCUUCAACAGCGAGCGCAGAGUCGGGUGGUGAUGAGCGAGGCGGCGUCGGGCGUCCUGUGCAGUGAAGAGGAUCCGCACGCGGCGCCUCUCAGGCCGCUUCCAGAGCAGGUCUGAGACCAGAUCCGUAGCAUCCUUGGCUGCGACCUGCGUAUGUUUACCUCUGGAUUUAUGUGUGAUUAACCAUGAUUGGAUCGCCACCCAAUCAUCCAAGACGCAUUUUAAUGCAAGGUGUAAACUGAGUAAUAAACCUAUCACUCUAAAUAACUGUCUUGUGUGUAUGCGCCAGUGAGGGUGCGCUUGUGCUGCAUAAUAAGCGUGUCCAUUAUAGCUGUUAUGAAUUGGCGCGUGAGCGUCGGAGCGCUGCCGUGUGUGAAUCUCAAUUCAUAUCAGUUCGAGCCUGAGUCUUUGUGCAUGACUGAUUGCUUUGUCUGUCUGACCACAACUGAAAAGGGAUAC